AUUGAACGCUGGCGGCAUGCUUUACACAUGCAAGUCGAACGGCAGCGCGGGCUUCUUCCUGGCGGCGAGUGGCGAACGGGUGAGUAAUACACCGGAACGUGCCCAGUAGUGGGGGAUAGCUCGGCUAAAGCCGGAUUAAUACCGCAUACGACCUGAUGGUGAAACCUGGGGAUCUUCGGACCUCGCGCUAUUGGAGCGGCCGAUGGCAGAUUUGCUAGUUGGUGGGGUAAAGGCCUACCAAGGCGACGAUCUGUAGCUGGUCUGAGUGGACGACCAGCCACACUGGGACUGAGACACGGCCCAGACUCCUAAGGGAGGCAGCAGUGGGGAAUGUUGGACAAUGGGCGAAAGCCUGAUCCAGCAAGGCCGCGUGUGUGAUGAAGGCCUUCGGGUUGUAAAGAACUUUUGGCGGGAACGAAAAGGACUGGGCCAAUACCACGGUUCGAUGACGGUACCCGCAGAAUAAGCACCGGCUAACUACGUG
rnacentral:rRNA from 1 species